AAUAGAUACCCGGGUAGUCCACGCCGUAAACGAUGUCGACUUGGAGGUUGUGCCCUUGAGGCGUGGCUUCCGGAGCUAACGCGUUAAGUCGACCGCCUGGGGAGUACGGCCGCAAGGUUAAAACUCAAAUGAAUUGACGGGGGCCCGCACAAGCGGUGGAGCAUGUGGUUUAAUUCGAUGCAACGCGAAGAACCUUACCUACUCUUGACAUCCAGAGAACUUGGCAGAGAUGCUUUGGUGCCUUCGGGAACUCUGAGACAGGUGCUGCAUGGCUGUCGUCAGCUCGUGUUGUGAAAUGUUGGGUUAAGUCCCGCAACGAGCGCAACCCUUAUCCUUUGUUGCCAGCGGUUAGGCCGGGAACUCAAAGGAGACUGCCAGUGAUAAACUGGAGGAAGGUGGGGAUGACGUCAAGUCAUCAUGGCCCUUACGAGUAGGGCUACACACGUGCUACAAUGGCGCAUACAAAGAGAAGCGACCUCGCGAGAGCAAGCGGACCUCAUAAAGUGCGUCGUAGUCCGGA
rnacentral:rRNA from 1 species